rnacentral:tRNA from 2 species
GAAACAUAUUUAUUAAGAAAAAGCUUCUAACUUUUUUCUUUAGCAGUGAAAUUCUGUUAAUGUUUCU